UACGGAGGGUGCAAGCGUUAUCCGGAUUUACUGGGUUUAAAGGGUGCGUAGGUGGGCAGUUAAGUCAGUGGUGAAAUCUCCGAGCUUAACUCGGAAACUGCCAUUGAUACUGUCGAUCUGGAGUAUGGAAGAGGUGAGUGGAAUUCCGAGUGUAGAGGUGAAAUUCGUAGAUAUUCGGAGGAACACCAGUGGCGAAGGCGGCUCACUGGUCCAUUACUGACGCUGAGGUGCGAAAGCGUGGGGAGCAAACAGG
rnacentral:rRNA from 1 species